rnacentral:rRNA from 1 species
UACGUAGGGUGCAAGCGUUGUCCGGAAUUCUUGGGCGUAAAGGGCUCGUAGGCGGUUUGUCACGUCGGGAGUGAAAACUCAGGGCUCAACCCUGAGCGUGCUUCCGAUACGGGCAGACUAGAGGUAUGCAGGGGAGAACGGAAUUCCUGGUGUAGCGGUGGAAUGCGCAGAUAUCAGGAGGAACACCGGUGGCGAAGGCGGUUCUCUGGGCAUUACCUGACGCUGAGGAGCGAAAGCAUGGGGAGCGAACAGG